AUCAACUUUCGAUUGGUAGGAUAGAGGCCUACCAUGGUGGUAACGGGUAACGGGGAAUUAGGGUUCGAUUCCGGAGAGGGAGCCUGAGAAACGGCUACCACAUCCAAGGAAGGCAGCAGGCGCGCAAAUUACCCAAUCCCGACACGGGGAGGUAGUGACAAUAAAUAACAAUACGGGGCUCUUUCGGGUCUCGUAAUUGGAAUGAGUACAAUUUAAAUCCCUUAACGAGGAACAAUUGGAGGGCAAGUCUGGUGCCAGCAGCCGCGGUAAUUCCAGCUCCAAUAGCGUAUAUUAAAGUUGUUGCAGUUAAAAAGCUCGUAGUUGAAUUUCGGGAUUGACACAUCGGUCGUGCCCUAAGGGGUAUGAACUGGUGUCGUCAGUUUCUCACCUUCUGGAGAACCGCGAUGUCCUUAAUUGGGUGCCGCGAGGAACCAGGACCUUUACUUUGAAAAAAUUAGAGUGUUUAAAGCAGGCAUUUUGCUUGAAUACAUUAGCAUGGAAUAAUAAAAUAGGACGGAUGGUUCUAUUUUGUUGGUUUCUAGGAUCACCGUAAUGAUUAAUAGGGAUAGUUGGGGGCAUUAGUAUUCAAUUGUCAGAGGUGAAAUUCUCGGAUUUAUUGAAGACUAACUACUGCGAAAGCAUUUGCCAAGGAUGUUUUCAUUAAUCAAGAACGAAAGUUAGGGGAUCGAAGACGAUCAGAUACCGUCGUAGUCUUAACCAUAAACUAUGCCGACUAGGAAUCAGACGAUGUUAAUUUUUUAAUGACUCGUUUGGCACCUUACGGGAAACCAAAGUGUUUGGGUUC
rnacentral:rRNA from 1 species